GCAGUGGUGGCCGAGUGGUUAAGGCGUUGGAUUCCCGUUCCAAUUGUGAUUAACACAGCGUGGGUUCGCAUCCCACCCACUGCA
rfam:Caenorhabditis briggsae complete genome, chrII